AUUGAACGCUGGCGGCAGGCCUAACACAUGCAAGUCGAGCGGAUGAAGGGAGCUUGCUCCUGGAUUCAGCGGCGGACGGGUGAGUAAUGCCUAGGAAUCUGCCUGGUAGUGGGGGAUAACGUCCGGAAACGGGCGCUAAUACCGCAUACGUCCUGAGGGAGAAAGUGGGGGAUCUUCGGACCUCACGCUAUCAGAUGAGCCUAGGUCGGAUUAGCUAGUUGGUGGGGUAAAGGCCUACCAAGGCGACGAUCCGUAACUGGUCUGAGAGGAUGAUCGGUCACACUGGAACUGAGACACGGUCCAGACUCCUACGGGAGGCCGCAGUGGGGAAUAUUGGACAAUGGGCGAAAGCCUGAUCCAGCCAUGCCGCGUGUGUGAAGAAGGUCUUCGGAUUGUAAAGCACUUUAAGUUGGGAGGAAGGGCAGUAAGUUAAUACCUUGCUGUUUUGACGUUACCAACAGAAUAAGCACCGGCUAACUUCGUG
rnacentral:rRNA from 1 species